rnacentral:lncRNA from 1 species
UCGCCCAAAGCCAUCUUGCGCAUGCGUGCCACGCGGCGCGCCUCGGCUCAGCGUGGUGUGCGGUGCCCUCGAGGUUGGGGUCUGCGGGCCAGGCCCUGGGGGACGACAGGACGGACAGCAGCACAGGCCCACUUUGUCGGGAGAGCACUGGAGGAGGAGGAGGAAGCGACCAGGAGAAGUCGCCAAGGGGCCGGAAGUCAGACCUUGAGGAAGCGGGUUGGAGCGAGCAGGCUGGCCUUGCCACCUUGCACGCUAAACAACACCUGCCCUGAACCAGCACUGUCUGGCACUGGGUGCUAAGCAGGGUGAGCCCUGGUUUGAUGGGAGGAUGAGCAAUGGACAGCUGUCCUCAUCUUUAAACAUCUUCACCUCACAGCCUGGCCACAUGUCUCUACCCCAGGCCACCCUGUCUUUCUGCAAGCUCCGCUCCUCUAGAGAAGGUGAACAAAGCUAAUACUCCUCGCUGGGAAUUUGUGGGUUUCUGAGUGAGGACAGCAUGCCAGAAGCUAUUCUGGGACAGAUGAUCUACAGUAAUGAGAAACCCGACCUGCAGCUGGUGUCCACCGCCUGGGCAUCUCCAGAGUCUGCCCCUCAUCGCACGCUAUCUGCAGGUUCCAGGCACCCCUCAAAUAAAGCCUCCAGCACCAACAGCCCAAUGAAGAGGGGGCCCUUCCUCCCGGGGGUUGCCCCUUUACUCUGCACAAGUUCAGCAAUUAAUUGGGAAGCUCUGCUUCUGCGUUGGUACUGAGGGGAGGAAACUUCACUUACUGCAAAGGAGACAGCACCUCAUCUCCUCACUGCUGUCCACACAUCAUCAGGCGCGAAAGGAAAGACCCACUGAGAGUCCCACAAUGAUUUUCCUUUGUUUGAAUUUAAAUAUUUCUAAAAAGUCUAAUAAUUUAAUUUGAAACUUUCACAUUAAAAAGUCUUGGGUAAAAAUACAAAGAGUGAGAUGGCAAAAAUUUUCUAUCCAUACCCAGAGGCAAUGAUAGCAAAGAGACACUCACA